rnacentral:SRP_RNA from 1 species
GGUCGGAUCCUGCGCAAUAGACACUUGUGAACCUCGUCAGGUCCGGAAGGAAGCAGCGAUAAGCGAGAUCCUCUAUGUGCCGCAGACCACUCCGGCUCUG